GAUGAACGCUGGCGGCGUGCUUAACACAUGCAAGUCGAACGGAGGACCCUUGACGGAGUUUUCGGACAACAGAUAGGAAUCCUUAGUGGCGGACGGGUGAGUAACGCGUGAGUAACCUGCCUUGGAGUGGGGAAUAACACAGUGAAAAUUGUGCUAAUACCGCAUAAUGCAGUUAUCCCGCAUGGGGUUGACUGCCAAAGAUUUAUCGCUCUGAGAUGGACUCGCGUCUGAUUAGCUAGUUGGCGGGGUAACGGCCCACCAAGGCGACGAUCAGUAGCCGGACUGAGAGGUUGGCCGGCCACAUUGGGACUGAGACACGGCCCAGACUCCUACGGGAGGCAGCAGUGGGGAAUAUUGGGCAAUGGGCGCAAGCCUGACCCAGCAACGCCGCGUGAAGGAAGAAGGCUUUCGGGUUGGUAAACGUUACUUUUCUUCUAGGACGAAGAAAUAGACGGUACCGUACGUAGGAA
rnacentral:rRNA from 1 species